rnacentral:rRNA from 1 species
AUUGAACGCUGGCGGCAUGCUUUACACAUGCAAGUCGAACGGCAGCAUGGGCUUCGGCCUGAUGGCGAGUGGCGAACGGGUGAGUAAUACAUCGGAACAUGCCUAGUUGUGGGGGACAACUACUCGAAAGAGUAGCUAAUACCGCAUAAGAUCUACGGAUGAAAGCAGGGGACCUUCGGGCCUUGCGCAACUAGAGUGGCCGAUGGCAGAUUAGGUAGUUGGUGAGGUAAAGGCUCACCAAGCCUGCGAUCUGUAGCUGGUCUGAGAGGACGACCAGCCACACUGGGACGGAGACACGGCCCAGACUCCUACGGGAGGCAGCAGUGGGGAAUUUUGGACAAUGGGCGAAAGCCUGAUCCAGCAAUGCCGCGUGCAGGACGAAGGCCUUCGGGUUGUAAACUGCUUUUGUACAGAACGAAAAGCUCUGGGUUAAUACCCUGGGGUCAUGACGGUACUGUAAGAAUAAGCACCGGCUAACUACGUGCCAGCAGCCGCCGUAA